GACGACCAAAAUCUUCAUAAUCAGAAUAACCAUCUUUCUUUCUCAAAGCUUGAUCUCCUCCACUGCAAAACGCCUCUGUUCCCUUUCCAGUAAGAAUGAUGACUCCGAUCGAACUAUCGUCUCUGGCAUCGUUAAAUGCCCGUAUGAGCUCUUUAAUUGUCUGCGGCCGGAAAGCAUUUCUCCUCUCCGGUCGAUUAAUCGUAAUCUUCGCAAUGGCUUCUCCG
rnacentral:misc_RNA from 1 species